rnacentral:lncRNA from 1 species
AGUAUCUAUGAUUUAGCUACUCUAGAGCCUUCCAAAGGUAUCAGGUGUGCCUUAUCCAUUAGCACAGAGAGGCACAGGGCUGAGCAGCUGAAGGGAGUACACCGCUGUGGUUUGACCUGCUCAAUAUCCCUUCUUCCUGAAACAGAAUCUAUCUUUUCUUGGGGAGCCACCCCUCCACUACUUUUAGCCCUUGGCUUAGGUUCCUCUUUUAAGACUCAGUUCUACCAGGAGGUAACCUCUGGUAAAUUCUCAAAUCCCAGUGCCAGGGUUAGGCAUGCGAUCAAGGCAAUAUAUCCAAGAAGCGGUAUGGGAGGCAAUUUGAGCCAAUGAGAUGCAACUCAAUACCUGGAGCCCCUGGGCCAGAGACUUGGAGUUUGUAUAUCUGCAAUUGUUGGGGUUUUGCCUUCUCUCCAAGAAAGCCUGAGUGAGGAUGAAGACAACGGGAUAAAGCAGAAACGAGAGGGAGAGAUGGAUUCCUCCUGACACCAUUUGAGCUCCUCCUUCUCCAGCUGAGCGUGAGCUAGCCCUGCAUUUUCCCGUUGCUUGGGCUCGUAAAUUCUCUUUGUGCUUGAGUGGGUUUGAGGAGCAUUUCUCAAGGAUGGAUCAUAACUGACUAUUGUGUGUCUCAAGGUUGGCUCCAAACCAGCAGAAGCUGAAUAAAGAACCAUGAACUUGGAAUGACUGUGUGACGCUAGGCUCUUACUGGUCCUAACUGAAGACUUUUUCCCAACAGCAAGCAAUGGGGCUUCUUUUAACCAACUCUAUUUACAACCUUAGAUUCAUUCUGUUCUUUCCAAAGUACUGGAUUUCAACACUUAAUUAGCAAUAACCACAUGAACCUACCCUGGCAAGCCCUUUAACAACUCUGAAUUUUCCCUCUCAGUGAGCUACUACUUAAUUCAGUAAAUUUCUCCCUAUCCUGUAUUCCUGUGGCUAGCAAGUCAAUAGACUCAGCUUUUAUUUUAUUUUGAGAUGGAGUCUCGCUCUGUCAUUCAGGCUAGAGUGCAAUAGCUUCAUUUUGGCUCACUGCAACCUCUGCCUCCUGGGUUCAAGCGAUUCUCUUGCCUCAGCCUCCUGGGUAGCUGGGACUACAGGCAUGUGCCACCAUGCCCAGCUAAUUUUUGCAUUUCUAGCAGAGAUGGGGUUUCACCAUGUUGGCCAGGCUGGUCUUGAACUCCUCACCUCAAGUGAUCCACCCGCCUCGGCCUCCCAAAGUGCUGGGAUUACAGGCAUGAGCCACUGCUCCUGACCUCAACUUUUAAUUUUUAUCUAUCGAUCUAGUCUAUUAUUACCCGCUACUUACCUACCCAUCCAUCCAUUCAUCCAUCCAUCCAUCUGCCCAUCCUUUUUUUUUGUUUAUUAGCUCUGGUCUUUGUUAUAUUUGUUGAUAGGCC